rnacentral:rRNA from 2 species
UACGAAGGUCCCGAGCGUUGUUCGGAAUCACUGGGCGUAAAGGGAGCGUAGGCGGCAUGGUAAGUCAGAUGUGAAAUCCCGGGGCUCAACCCCGGAACUGCAUCCGAUACUGCCUUGCUUGAGGGUUGGAGAGGUAGCUGGAAUUAUCGGUGUAGCAGUGAAAUGCGUGGAUAUCGAUAGGAACACUCGUGGCGAAGGCGAGCUACUGGACAACAUCUGACGCUGAGGCUCGAAGGCUAGGGGAGCAAAAGGG